AUGAGGUUGGAUUCUCUUGCCCAACCUGGGAAUCUCAGGAGUCCCCAGUCCCUGCUCAGGAUAGAACACAGUCCACUCACCAUAGAGUCUGCACUCAGCUGGGUUUUUCUUGUUGCUAUUUUAAGAGGUGUCCAGUGUGAUGUGCAGCUGGUGGAGUCGGGGGGAGGCUUAAUGCAGCCUAUGGAAUCUCUGAGACUCUCCUGUAUGGCUUCUGGAUUCAAGUUUUCUGACUAUGUCAUGCACUGGGUCUGCCAGGCUCCAAGUUAUGUGCUGGAAUGGGUCUCAGUGAUUAGUGGUGGUGGUGAUACCACAUACUAUGUCAAAUCCGUGAAUGGCCCUUUCACCAUCCUCAGAGACAAUGAUGAGAAUAUGCUGUAUUUGCAAAUGAGCAGCCUGAGAGGCAAGGACAUGGCCGUGUUACUUUGA